AAUCAGCUCAGCUGUCAUGUCAAUUGUUGCCUCUCGCUGUCUCGUAAGGAUUAUCAAAUGAGCAGUGUAUUGAACAAAAUUACGUAUUUUCGUAAGUGAGAGUAAUAUUUCAACUUCUUAAUAAAGGCGGAUAAGAUAUAUGACAAUUAUUUCCACCAUGUUCAAAGGAGUGAUAAUAUUUGGUGCUGGAGUGUAUACUGGUGUAUAUGUAGCACAAAAUUACCAGGAUGCGGCUGCUUAUAUUUGUACGAAAACCACAAACCAAUGUGAUGAAGUAUUGAAAAAGAAAGGUUAGACAAAGUGGAAAACCCUAAGGUGCUGAUGGAAAAAGUACAAGAAUUUAUAAAAUCUAAAACAGAUGGAAAAUAGAAACAACAGGAUUAUAGGAGAUGCUGCUUUGUCUAUGAAAUGACAUAUACUUGUGUAAAUACAAUUUAUUAGCUCUAUACAAUGCUAUAAAUAAAAUUAGCAACAAAUUGA
rnacentral:misc_RNA from 1 species